rnacentral:rRNA from 1 species
CAGCUUAAAACCCAAAGGACUUGGCGGUGCUUUAGACCCACCUAGAGGAGCCUGUUCUAGAACCGAUAACCCCCGUUCAACCUCACCCUUCCUUGUUCCUCCCGCCUAUAUACCACCGUCGUCAGCUUACCCUGUGAAGGAUUAAUAGUAAGCAAAACUGGCAAAGCCCAAAACGUCAGGUCGAGGUGUAGCGUAUGGAAGGGGAAGAAAUGGGCUACAUUCACUAAUUCAGUGUAUACGAAUGACACCCUGAAACACGUGUCUGAAGGAGGAUUUAGCAGUAAGCAGAAAAUAGAGUGUUCUACUGAAACUGGCCCUGAAGCGCGCACACACCGCCCGUCACUCUCCCCGAGCUAAGACUUCCAAGUAAAUAAAUACCCAUAACUGCAAAGGGGAGGCAAGUCGUAACAUGGUAAGUGUACCGGAAGGUGCACUUGGAAAAAU